GGGUGCGAUCAUACCAGCACUAAUGCACCGGAUCCCAUCAGAACUCCGAAGUUAAGCGUGCUUGGGCGAGAGUAGUAAUAAGAAGGGUAGACCUGAGGGAAGUCCUCGUGUUGCACCCC
rnacentral:rRNA from 1 species